AUUGGUCUAAAGAUCAUACUGAGAGAAAUAAAAAGCAUGAAAGUCAUGCUUGAAAUUGUCAAAACAGUUCCAGUUUGUCUCAUCUGCUUGGGAGGGAGGAUGAAUCCUCGAUCUGGGGGCUUUCUCUGGGAGUUGGAAUACACACGAUAGUUACCAUUCAUCAGCAUCCACUAUGUGCCGGACACUAUCUCUUAUCCUUUCAACAUCGGUCAAAGUGAAUGUAACUACCUCUACUUUAUAUCUGAGGAAUCUGAAGCUUUGAGAAAUUAAAUUACUUAUCCAAAAUCAAACAGUGCUGAUGAAAAGCCAGGUCUUAUCAGCAUACCAACCUGCUAAGUGUUUAGUUUGGUUAAAAAAGAAGAAGAAGAAGAAGAAGAGAAGUCUAGCCAAUCACAUCCUGUAUGCUGAAUCCUGGAGCACAGCAGAGACAUUGGACUAUGAACACACAUGACAAGUCCCAGAGCUCCAAGUAAGCAGAGCCAGCAGAGAGUCUGUCCAGGGGAGACCCAAAGCCCGAGAAGCUCCUUUUCUUCUUUGUUUCAAUUACAUCAUUCUCCAGAGACAAAAGUUCAUCAAGAAGCAAGAGUUUUGCUGCCAGAUUAGUAGCUGAUUUCUCUUCCCUGACUGUGGGUGGUGCCUGCACAUCUAUGACUCCAGAAUCAAAAGCCUAUAGGGCAAGAAAGGUGAUUCCAUUUGUUCAGAAAAAGAAACCUUAAAUAUAUAUAAUCAUCUGCAUUUGGCUUUUGCUAGCUUUAGCUCACCUGCCUGCCAUGAUACUUGAUUUCUUAUGGUUUUAUGUUUCUAGAAAAGACUUAUGGAGACAAAAAUGCAUAGAGAUGAUGUAUGUCUAAACACAAUUAAAACAAUACACACACACACACACACACACACACACACAGGAAAAAAGGAAAAACUACAGGUCUGCCUCUAAAAUUUAGUAUAUUAACUGAUCAUUCUUUUAGGUUCUUUCCCAGUAACAGCUGCAUCCUUCCUUAUCAUUCCCAUAGCACUUUAUCUUUCUUCAUUGUACUCAUUACAUUUUCCCUUGUAUUAGAUUGGUACAAUAAAUUUGUAUUGCAUAGUAGAUUGUGAGUAACCUGGGGGCAAUAACUAUGUCUAAUUAGUCCUUUAUUUUUUCACUCUAUUCAAUGCUUAAGCCAGUAUUUUGCUCAUAGUUAGUACUCAGGAAAUUUCUGAAUAUUUCUUGAAUGAAUUUUGAAAAUGCAAACCUCACACUGUUAUCGUUUCACCAUUCAUUCACACCUUAUUGAAUCAAGCCAUUAAAGCACCCACUAUGUACCAGGUUCUGCAUUAGACCUGAGGGGUAAAAAAAUGAACAAAAUCCAGUUUCUGCCCUCAGGAAGCUUACUAUCUCUUUCCAUGUGAUGUAUUACCACAUGUUAAUGAGUGUCUACAGUGAGUCAUAACUAUCCCAAUGACUUUAUCCUCCUGUGUAAAAUUUCUUGUUUGUUACAUAUAUUGCCACUUUGCACUGUAUUCAAGACAUAAAAGUGUGGUGUCUUUUCCUUUCCUAAUCCUGGUCACAGCAUUUUAAAAAGUGUUCCUAUUAACUGCCUCUAGUCAUUGUGGAGUCUAGGGGAUAUUACUUCUUUUCUAGGAAAGUGAGAAUAUUCCCCUGUGGGAAGAAACUAGCUCCAGGGAUCUCCUUCCUGCCCCUCUGUAUGUCACAUUCCUCCUUGUGCCAGACUUGGUCUUGGCAAGACUCUUUUUCUUCACUUCCUUUCUUUCUUCUUAGAUUAUUUCUUCCGUUCUCUUUCUAUGUUCUUCAUUUUCCCCAAUAAAAUGAAAGAGCGGCAUUUUCCAAGCCUUUUCAUCAUUGGCUCCAGCAACUCUCUCUUGUGAAAUAUAUAUAGUCUGACACCUAGACUCAAAGCUAUUGAACCUCCUCUUUCCUAAACCAGCCAAAUUUGCACUAAGUCUGGUCAGUUCUUCCUGGAAAAACUCUCUUGCUCUUUCUGAUUCCCAUCAGUAGUGACUUAACAUCAGCUCCUCUUCACUGCUUAGUGUAGCUUCACUCCUAAUCACCUCAUAACCUGCUUCUCUAUCCUCUGUCUCCCCCUUUUCUCUUCUAUCCUGAAUACUGCCAAGAAGCUAAUUAUUGCAAACACACUCUCAUCUGGUAGAAAGAAAAUAAGAAAUCUCUCCUGGCUCUUGUUAUUUAUAAUGCAGACUGCACAAUGUCCACCGACUCCUUUUUAAAAUUUCAACGUCUAUCACUCUCCUCCAUAAACUUGACAACAUAGAAACUGGGGAAGGGAAGGAUGCUAUAAUCAUGAGAAAGAAACUCUAGAGAGUAGUAGACAAACUUUCAAAGGGCAAAGAUAGGAUAUCUUUUAUCAUCUCUUAGUGCAUCCUCCAAAAAAUAUGUUUUCAUUCUUCCAACUGCCACACAUACAAAAUAGAGUUUUGUUCCUUUUUAAAGAUACUCUUAAUUAACCCUAAGGAAAAAAAAAAAAACAUAGCUCUCAUGUAAAACUUCCUUCAGCAAAGUGCUUUUCAGAUUCUCACUUGUUAUUUACAAAGUACAGAGAACACUUUCUAAUAAGAUCAAAUUAGCCAAAUUAACAUUUCUCUGUGUACUUUAGUCAUGGCAGCAAGAAAACAUUUGUAUAGUCAUACAAAGUUUGGCCAAAGCGACUCAAAUUUUGACAUGUAACAACUUCAAAUUUCCCACAAAAGCACUUCAUCUUAAUGUAAUUGAUUUAAUUAAAAAUAUGGCCAAAAGGAUAUUGAAUUUUCUCUUAAUGCUUUUUUGUUCAAGGAAUACACAUCUUUAUUACUUCCAUUUUAUUUUUUGGCGUUCAGAUAACUGGCCUUCUCUGAAUCUACAGUGAGGUCAAGACAAUAGAAAAAAAAGUCUAUUUCCUUGAUUUUGUGCUAUCAAAGCAUCUCUCUAUUUGUCAGCAGCACCUGCUUCUGAUAAGUAGAAAUGGCUUAUGUUCAUAAAAAAAAAAAAUAUGGUCCCUUAGGCUAGUUUCCAUUACCUCUGUUGCUACAUCCACUGAGCGUACUUUUCCUGAACUCCACAGCAUCAACAUCACAGCCAGAAUAAAAUGUGCAUUUGCCAAUCUCCAGUCCAGCAUCUGAGGGUCACAUACAUCAAGUCAACAUUUAUUACUUUGGCAUAUAAAGAUAGAAAACAAAAGCUCUGGGAAACUUGUUAGAUGCAGGCGAUAAACCAAAUUUUUCAGCUUCUAGGUGCUGGAGUGCAUCUCUGAAAAAAUUAAGUAAUACUUAACAGAAGCUGUCAGUCUACUGGAAUGAAUUCUAUUAAGGCUUCAUUUCCAUGGAAAUCUAGGCUGGGGUUGUAUAGCCAUAAUCAUAAUUCGAACCAACCAAAGUCUGAGAAAUCUAGUUGUGUAAUCUUAUUCUUUGACUAUCUAAUCCAAGGAUUAUAACCUCAUAUAUCCAGGGGAAAUGUGUGAAAUUGGCCAGGUUUUAGAAAAUAAAGUCCAGCGAGGUCUGUGUGAACCUGAGAAAAUGCACUGUGUCUAAAAACAUUUAAAUUGACAAAUUCAAAGCACCACAUAUCCAUAGACAAAUAUAUCUAUGCCCUUGUGUCAUGUAAGGAUUUCUUAAGAUUCAAAAGGUGCAAAAUGGAAUAUAUUUUCAACAUAAUAUAUAAAAGAGAGAUUAGCAUUUGAAAUAUUUAAAAACUGAUAAAUAAAAUUUUAAAAAUAGCAAUUAAUUGACAAUUAAGUAAAAAAUGGACCAAAGUUAUGAAUGGGCAUUUCAGAGAAAAGGAAAUAACCUAAUGGAAAAUAAACAUCCAAAAAGACAUCAUCCAAAAAUACACGCAACUUAUUUAAUGCAAAAAAAGAGUGAGACAUACAUCAGAUUGGCAAAAAUUCAAAGUGAACAUUGCAAAUAUUAGAGUGGUGCUUGGAAACAGAAAAACACAAGUGAUACUGGUGGGGUUGGAAAUGAAUCCAAUCAUUUGGAGAAAAUUGGACGAUAUCCAGAAAAGUUGAAGAUGAUCAUGUCCUACCUAUAACCCAUGUAUUUCACUUCUUGGUAUGUAUUCCAAAAGAACUCUUACAUAUUUUUAUGGAGACAUGUAUCUGAAAGUUCAUAGACUCAUUGUUUAUAGUGGUAAAAACUGGAAUCAAUCCAAGUACUCUACUCAGGAGGAAAUGGGUUUAUCAAUUGAAGUACAUCCAUAGUAUGGACUUAGAACAGAUGACUUAAAUAUAUCUGUAUCUACUAUGAAAACAAAUGAUUUAAAUGUUAUGUGUAUUUACAUGCAUGGAUUUCAAAGAAACCACUUUGGGGGGGAAUGGGAAGUUGUAGAACAAUAUAUAAGACAUGCUAUCAUUUACCUAAAUUGCGGAUACACAAAGCAAUUUUAUGUAUUUUGAAAUCUAUACACAUAUUAAAAUAUAA